rnacentral:rRNA from 1 species
GUAGGGAAUAUUGGGCAUUGGUCGGAAGACUGACCCAGCCAUGCCGCGUGCAGGAAGACGGCCCUCUGGGUUGUAAACUGCUUUUAUCUGGGAAGAAAAAGGCCAUGCGUGGCAAAUUGCCGGUACCAGAUGAAUAAGCACCGGCUAACUCCGUGCCAGCAGCCGCGGUAAUACGGAGGGUGCGAGCGUUGUCCGGAUUUAUUGGGUUUAAAGGGUGCGUCGGCGGCUGAUUAAGUCAGCGGUGAAAGACUUCGGGUUAACCGGAGCAGUGCCGUUGAUACUGGUUGGCUUGAGUGUCGGAGGGGUACAUGGAAUUGAUGGUGUAGCGGUGAAAUGCAUAGAUACCAUCAGGAACACCGAUAGCGAAGGCAUUGUACUGGCCGACAACUGACGCUGAUGCACGAAAGUGUGGGGAUCGAACAGGAUUAGAUACCCGAGUAGUCC